UGGUUUGGACAUGGGGCAUUAACUUACGCUUCCCACUAUCUGACAUUAUCCCUGUGAUGUGACUGAUUUAAGAGAGCCCAGUCACACAUUCAAUUACACAGGAGUAAGCUCCCCUACUCUGCUUGUUAGCUUUAACUUUGUACUUAUUCUGUGACCAAUCACCAUUACAACAUGCAGGAUCAAGCCCAAUUACUGAGAGAUGCUGAAGGCACUGACUAUCUCCUCCAGCACAACAUAAAGCAUGGAACAAUAACAAACAGUUCUGUUCAGUGGAACUAUAUAUCUAAGUCACUAAGGCAAGGUUUUACACAGAUUUGUAUUUUUUUCCUAAGUGUCUCAAAUUCACUAUUUAAUCCUUGAGGUGCUAAUAUUUAAAAAUCAGAAAUAUUUUUAAAAUAUCAUUCGAAAUGCUAUAAUCUUACAGAUCUAUUUCUGUGUAUAGGUGCAUAAUAUAUAUAUAUAAAGUGACAGAAGAGUGUUGACAUGAGGUGUUAGACAUACAUCGGCUCUGUGCACGUGCCACAAACAAAAUGAUUCUGUGGAGUGAAGAAGAUGCUUGCCUCUUGGUCCGCAGUAAGUCUCAACAUGGAACUAUCACAUGUGCAGGUUUGAAAAUAUAAACCAAACGCAAAGUGGAAAAGGUAACUGUUCAGAUUUCUUCUGAUUAUACCAAAAGCAUGGACAAACAUAGCUGUGGAUACUUGGAAAUGGAAGAACUCAAAGAGAUACAAAUGGACCAUGGUCUCACCAUUCCCGAACUUCAGAAGCACUAGCAUAGCACAGGUUAAUCUGCCGUUAUUAAUCAAUGGAAAGCAUGCUGAAGAGCAGAACCAUGCAAUAUUCUCAAAUCCAUUUGCAGUGUUAUUUCUACACAAAGUUUACUAUAGCUUCAUAAAACUCAAAAGAUGCACAAAAUCUCUUUGCAGUUUUUGCUUACUUUUCUCACUCUGUGGUUCUCAAAUCCAGCACUAGCUUAUUUUGUCUCACAGCAGAGCAUUCAAAGAAAGUAAUAAUUAGAUUAGUGUGAAUGAAUACAAAUUCAACAGUCUUAGUUACA